UACGACAGUCUGGCAACGGCCAUGCUAUACGUAUUGUUGUGCUGGAAGCUUCCCCCGGCGACCAUAGGCCUCUAGAAGGCUCCCGGAGAAACGAGCAAGGGGGCGGGGAGCAAGGCGAGCCGUCCGCUCCCCGCGGGGCGCGGCCUGGCGCCAGGCGGGAAGUGUUGCCAACUCCCAUAUAUUUUUGCUACAUGUUCUUGUAUGAUCUAAAAUAUACUGUAACAUUCUAGACUGUACUGUUCUGGAUAUAUAUAGGAGAAGAGGGCGAGAGAGGGCCAGUCCCAGUCACAGUAAGCUAGUGUUAAGUGAAGAGUCAGAGUGAAGUGUACUACUAAGGAAGAAUAUUAAACUACAGAAGUUGUGCAAAGUGUUUAUAUAUAUCUCCCUCCCACGGAGUCUUGUGACGGCGACACGGAACCCAAGUAACACGUCCGGCAUAACAGUAUUUUCAUAUUAUUGUUCUGUUUUGAAUGUUGUGUUCAAGAAAAAGAAUACUCAUAAUUUUAGUUAAUUUUUUGGUUAUAAGGAUUCUUUACGAAAUACAAUUAUAACAUUACCUGCUUUAGUUGUAUAAUGAUUGAUUGAUAGUUUAUUGUUGCAGGUAAACAACAAGGGAGAAGGGAGCACACUCUGUCCUGCCUGGGGGUUGGGAUGGCAUGUUCCUCCCUUCUCCCUUGUUGUUUACCUGCAACAAUAAGCUAUCAAUCAAUCACCUUCUUUUACUUAGGAAACGUCCUGAAUUUGUGGGAAAAAAAGAGCGUUUGUGGGAGUUUUACUUUUGAGGUGGCAACACUGAGAGCAACGUUACGAGAUUGUCGUACUCAGCUUCAUAUAUUUACCAACUUCCGACCCAAAAACUGUCUCCUAGGCCCCAAUAACUAGAUUCAUUUAUAUCUAUCGUUAAAAUAGUUGAUGCCUGAUGUUUUUUGGCAAUAGUUAGCCGUCAAAAGCCCUUAAAUACAAUGCCCUGAGUACGAUAAUCUGGUAAAGGUGACUGAGAGAACUGUACAGCAAGAGCAAGAGCAAGAGGAUACAGUUGCACUGACAGUGGGGUGAAAAGUGUGUAAUAGUGGAAAAUAGCAAAGCACACGGGCAAGUAAAUCAGGGAAAGAAAAGGAUGAAGUGCUUAAGAAAGUGAUGUAAGACAGAAAAGAAAAGUGUGAAUACGUGAAAAAGAAGAAGAGGAACGAAAGGAGGAGGACUUGAUAAGCCAUACAAAGGCGUCACAGGUCAAAAGAAGAAGAAGAAGAAUGGUGGGUGGGCGUGUAUUCUUGGUCGUCCUGCUCGUUGUGGCCUAUGUGUGCGCCAAGCCUCCUGAUGUAGUCGUGAAGAAGGGAGAAGAUAAAAUAAUCUAUCAGAAUGAAACACAAGCACAAAACGCCGCGUCGACAUCGUUGUGUGUGAAGCCUGGAGGUUUGUUGAGUGUCUGCGUCAAGGUGGAAGACGAAACACUUGCAAAAAAUGCUGAGGGAUGUUUCGAUACCAAGAGCUGCAGCCUGACCAGUGCCCCGUGGAAGCUGGUGACGGUGGAAGCAAAGGUCUUGCCGGGCAUAGUUUCCACACGCUUCAGCGUCGAAUAUAAUCUGACCUUCGACGGUUGUGUCCAAACGAAAAAGGAAGUUUACGAGUCGGAAAACAUUGCACGCCUGACGGUUUCUGCAGGUGGUGCCUCUGAAUGGCAACUCAACGGCUGCCCUGACCCCACCACGGAGGACCCUUCCUCUGACUCGCUGCCCACAUAUGUCAUUGUGAUAAUAGUGCUGGUGGCUUUGGCGGUGGCGGCGGUGGCGGCGGUGCUGGGUGUGGUCUUUUUGAAGCGGAAGUAGACUCUUGGCCCCACGUUAGUAAAGUCUUGAGGUGCAUGCAGUCAUCCGGCCGCCGAGUUACAGACACAGGAUAUUCUGGGCAGGUCAUCAAGAACAGCUUGUAUGAAACCCCUGCCCGGCCCCGUGACCCCAGCCGCCCACCAGUAACAGCCAGGGAUGGUGCAGGUCAUCGAGAACAGCCUGUAUGAACCCCUGCCCGGCCCUGUGAUCCUGCUUCCACCCAGAAAUCGUAGUGCCACAGUCCACCUUGUGUCUUGAGCCUAGGUUCAAUUCCCGGCCAGGUUGUUGGGAAAAAAAUAUUCCCGAGUAGAUUUGUUCCCCUUGUGCUUGGAGGAGCGGUGAUCUCCCCCAUGAGGGUGGCGGCUUAGAAUACAGGACGUUUCGACGGAAGUACAAUUCGACGGUCUGUCUUGGACGAAUCGACGGUGUGGAUAUUUUCCAGUCGAAUAAUCUUGAGCGAUUCGACGGUCCAUUCACGUUACAUAAUUAUUCAUAUACUAUUUAUCAUUAUUCAGAUAGCAUGUGUUAAAAUAUUUUAUUGUACAAUAAUAAAGAUUGAUUGAUUGAUUGAUAGUUUAUUGUUGCAGGUAAACAACAAGGGAGAAGGGAGGAACAUGCCACCCAACCCCCAGGCAGGACAUUAUACAACUAUUAAUACAUGUGUAGGUAGCACCAUGAAAUUAAAAAGAUACAAUGGUAGGAAGGAAAGCACAACAAGGGAGGGGGCAGUACCUCCCCAUGGACAAUAAGACAAUAAAAUGUGGGGACGGAGAACAUUGCCCAAGCACUAGAUGGGAAUGAAUACAGAGAUAGAGUAAAUACUAGUCCUUAAAGUAAAAUACUGCAGAGAUCACAGCCUUGUAUAGCACGGCAGUAGUUCAGGCUGCCACACACGGCAUCACCACCUUGGUGCAAACUGAGGGUGCAUGUUCUUUGAGGAUAGCGGGGAGGACAUCAUGGGAUAAACCAGACAUGGCUAAAUUAGGAUAGCUAAAAUAAAAUAAACAUUAGGAUUAACGGUAUACAGGACUUUAUUUGUCAUUAUUCAGGUAACACAUGGAUAAAAUAUUUAUUGCACAUUUAUUAAAAGAUAGCUUAUAUAUAGCCUACACUUAAAAAAUUCAUUACUUUUCCAUAUUUUCAUCUGCUGACCUAAUUUGAGGAUGGUGAUACUGGGAGACACGGCGCAGUAACUCUUGAGGCUGUAGCUGGCCAUCUUUGUACGCUUCCCAUAUGUCAAAAAUGUUCUUCUGGUAAUUCUUGUAUAUUUUAAACAUACGUUAUAUGUCAUAUUUUAUUAUGAUAGUAUUUUGUUUGGUGAUUAUAAUAUUAUGUUAUGUGGACGAUACGACGGGAAAUUCCGGGGCGUUUCGACGGGGACGUGAUUUUGGGCGGAUCGACGAUGUCGUCGAAUUGCACCGCCGUCGAAUCGUCCUGUUACCGGCGGCUUACAUCCGGCAUCCCUCCCUAGCCUGUGUUUCUCCACGACGGGGCAGGAACUGGAUGGCUCGCUUCAUCAUUUAUAUAGCUGUCUCCUCAUCAUGUCGCAGCCCCAACAAGAAUACCUUGCCAGACUCUUCCCUGUGUCUGUAACUCCUGCCAAGUGUCCUUAUUUCUGGCCGGACCGUAGGCUGGGCGGCGAGGCAGAACCUGGGCAGAUUAGAAGGUGAAUUUACCCCUUCGGUUUUGAUUUUUUUCGAGUCUAGUUGUGGUUCACGUGUGGUUAGUUUAUAUUAAUCUUCCCAUAAUGAGAUCCCUACAUAAGAUUUUGAUGUAUGUACUUGUAUGUUUACAUAUUAUCCAGACAUGGGGUAGUAGUUAAUUCAACCAAUUAAAUAUUUAGUAUGGCACAUGUGUAUGAAAUUUGCAAGUUCACCUUUCAGUCCUUCAUGUAAUCACGAUUGUAAUCUCAAUUAAUACAUCAUGUAAUCAUAAUCUAUUACACUUAACUUCAUUGUAUUCGUAAUCGUGAAAAUAUGAAGUAAUCGUAAUCGACUACAUAACAUAAGUAAUCGCCCCGUGUCUGAUCUUAUAAUCAAUCUACAGGUAGGCAUGAAUAUUAUAUGUAACUAAUUUAUUACUUCUAGUCCAGUAACAGUAGCAGCAGCAACAGUGGUAGUGGCAGGAGUAUAGUAGUAGUAGUAGUUGUAGUAGUAGUAAUAGUAGUUGUAGUUGUAGUAGUAGUAAUAAUAGUUGUAGUUGUAGUAGUAGUAAUAGUAGUUGUAGUAGUAGUAGUAGUAUAGUAAGACUCACCAUAGAGUGCGGCUGUGUCUGUGGCCUAUGAGGAACAAGCGGAAGUACAGCAAUGCCACGUUUUUAACCCCUUCAACACGAGGACGAGUAUACUGUGUCCCUGUGUGCCCAUUACCAUAUCCGUGAACGCGUAUACUGUGUCCUGGCUAUCUUUAGCCAAUAUACGAGUUAUUUUAUCUAUAUUUAUGCUUACAUCUCAAAAUUAUCAAUUAAUUUAUGUUUCUCUAUGUGCACCAUUUAAUUCUGCAUGUUUUCAUAUAUAAUACAUGAUGAUUGUGUUGAGUUUAUGGCUGAAAACUUGUUAUAUUCAAUAGCAACAUUUGAAAUUUGACGCACACGGCGAUCUCGGAUACGGCACAGGGCGCUGUUUUGGCCCAGCUGUAGUAAGUUUCUUUAUGUGCACCAUUUAAUUCUGUAUGUUUUCAUAUAUGAUACAUGACGAUUAUGUAGAGCUUAUGGCUGAAAACUUGUUACAUUCAAUAGCGACAUUUGAAAUUAAGCGCGCGCGGCAAUCUCGGAUGCGGUGUGGGGCACUGUCUUGGCCCGAUCGUAGUGAAGUGGUUAACCCCACAUUGAUUGCCUCUCUGUCUCUUGUGCCGUUACCGCCACGAGGAUUUGAAUUUUUUUUCUUAACCCGGUAGCAGCGAGGAUCCUGUUUCUUAAUGAUCCCUCUAAGUGAGAAAAAUGAGAAAAAAUCUCCCAUCACACAAAUUCAAUAUAAUAUAUAUUGAAUCAUUUGUGAUCAGUUUAUGCAUCAUCUAUUUUGGGUGGUUUAUAUUGUGGCACAAAACUGGCCCGUUGCUGCUACACGGUAAAGCCACAAAUUUGGCCCGUCGCUGCUACCGGGUUAAAGGAUGUCGCCUUUUCAUGUGGAGAUGACUUUUUUUGGAUGAUGAUAGUUAGUAGAAAUACUAAACUACCAAACAUUAAUUUCAUACCUUGAUAAUGUGUAAUUACAAUGUGUUUAUAUAUUUCUCACUUCUUUUUUAACUUUUUUUUUCAGCUAAGGAGACAGUUCAAGGGCAUAAAAAAAUUAUUAAAAAAAGGCCCACUACUUACUGCUCCUGAAUAGAAGUCAAAGGAGUGUCCAAAAAGAGAGGUCAAUUUCGGGAGGAGAGGUGUCCUAAUACCCUCCUCUUAGGUGUAAUAUGUAAGCUGUUACUAUAUCUAGGGUAGGCGGUGGCCGAAGUGAUAGCGUACUGGACCCACAUUUGCCGCGUGAUGGACGACGCAGGUUCGAAUCCUCACGCUACCACUCGGAUUUUUCAGUCACCGCCGAGUGGCUUAAAACUACCCACAUGCUGUCCUGAAGACCACCCAUCAACCCGGACUCUAGAGGAAGCCGUCCAAGCGAAUCAAGUACGAGUUCCGGGGGGCAGCAUGAGCCAAUGCAAGAUGGCGCCACUAUAAACACUCGCCUGCGCCAGAACGGGCUGGGCCGACCAUCAGGCCCCACCUGGAAGAAGCCUUGGGCCGACCAUCAGGCCCCACCGGGAAGAUGCCUACCGGCGCAAUAGGCAACAACGUAAAAAAAAAAAAAAAAAAAAUCAUAGUUCAGGUAACUCUCAAUUUACUUGAGUUUGGUUUACGAGUUUUUUAAAUAACGCUGGGUCCAAAAUCCAAAUCAAUGUUUAAUUUACAUGUUUUUUUCACUUAUACGUGAUAUUUUAUGGAGUGGCCACCAGAUGUCUCACACAACUGGACUCACACGGCGCCGCGGCCACACAGCUGAGCUCAGUUCUUCCCGCGCACCACUUACAUAUAGUACCCACGCUGCCAUGCUAUUCAACAACAACAACACCCUCGCUGCUGUGCUACCACGAGGGAAAGGGCAGCCAGAGGAGGAACCACGACAGGGAGAGGAGUCAGAGUGAUACAGUAGGCAGUAAAGGUACAAACCUUCCUCUUGUUUGAUUUACAUUGUUUUUGAUUUAUGCGACCUCUUCAAGGACACAAUACUCGCGUAAAUCGAGUUACCUGUACUGUUAUCUUUUCUCUAGUCUCCAAAUAGGCAUAUUUUUUUUCCUAUAUCUACAAAGUAUACUGGUAUAUAGUUUUGCUAAAAGAUAUGUCACCAAUAUGCUGAUUUGUGAUGGUCUAAUGGAAAUAGAAAAUUAUACUUUCGAGCAAACAUUUAUUUCAGUGUUCCUAGGUAGUUUUGUUAUAAAAAAGUAUAUACUGUUUUAUGCAUUUUAUGAUAAAUAGUAGAAGAAAUAACAAGUAAAAAGAGCUGGCACACAUUAAGGCAAUGUUAUAUAAUUCUGGGGAAAUUGUGACCAAAAUCUUGGGAAAUUUUAACAUGUAUUUGGGGAAAUCCUGGAAUGGCAAAGUCUUUCACACUUCACUUGUCAUCAUAUAUGCUGCUGCUCCAUAUCACCUGUGACUUCUGGUAGGUAUUAAUUUCUAAACUCUUAAAUUACAAUUUUCUCACUCCUCCCCCCUUAAAACCCCUCUGGUCAAUCUCUUACAGCCCUUUCUCACAUAAUUAAUGUCUGUCCUAGAGUGUUCGCCGUGCACCCAAGUGGCCCAAGUUGGUGAGAUUGGUAGCACCUCGUUAUCCCUGGCAGAGCUAUAAGCCCUUAAAUGAUGCUUAGCUCGGGGGAUUAUUUAAUCACCUUUUUUAAUCAAACAUAAUAUCCUUACUCUAGUAGCCACUGCAUUGUCCUCACCCCACAUGAUUGUUCCUAAGAUUUUCAUCUGUAUCUUUUACUUCUAGACCAAACACCAUAUCAAUAAAACAGGCAUUAACCAAUCAUGAGCCCCCUCAAAAUGGUUCAUCCAUAAGUGGGCACACAUAACAAUUAUGAAGUUAAUGUAAUGUAGCAAAUGUUUUGACCUGGUAGACUGGCCAUUAAUACAUGAAUAGAAAGGAAGAAAACAUUACAUGUACUUAAAUCAGAGGUAAUGAUAUAUUCACAAUAUUCAACUUGCAUCAGCUUAAAUCCUUUUGUUACAUAAACACUAAUAAAUGGAGGUUGAUGAUGCAGACAUGGCAUUUUUUAUUGAUUGUAUUAUCCCCUUCCAUUUUUUCAGCAUAAUUACAUACAAAAUAUAUCCAAAGAAGUAAUGAUACAAAGGAAGAACAAACGGGGCUGCCUGACAAAAGUUUUGGCCAGUGGAAUGGGCCAUGUAUCAGACACAUUCCAAAAUUAUGUACUACUAACAAGUAGAGCCAUAAUAAAGAUCAUAAAACUCUACAGAUGGAGGAAAUAAACAGAAAAUCACAGAUGCAGAUGGUCAGUGGAAAAUGAAAAAUCACUCGGUUACAUGAGCUUCAAUACGUACCCACUCAAUUAUUUACUUGUUACUUGAGCACUGCUAUUCACACCUCACAACAUACCUUAAUACCUCAGUUACUGUGUUCAUAGUCAAUACCACCUUCUGAGAACAGAGGAACACUCACACCAGACACAGACUUUGCAAGACUUUCCCCAGUGGCUUGUCUUGCUUUUGAACUAGGCUUUUUUAGGGAUGUUCCUUCAUUUUCUUACUUUCUCUUCUUUGUGGAACACAACCGGUCUUGUUUAGCAAACUUUUUUAUUACUCGGCUCUGAAACAGCUGAUUCAUCCACAGGCCACUUAUUGUCAUUUGGUAGAUAGCUCCUGCCAGCAUCGAAUGGUGCAAUUAAUUUACAUAACAAGCUGUUUGCAGUUUUCAAAACUUGAAGGUCUUUAACUUCAUCGCACUUAAGCAAAAGCUGUGACAAAAUCUUGUUCUUUAUUUGUUCCUAGUAUUUCUCAACUUGUACACCAGUGGUUUCCUCAUUACUGAUAACAUCACGGAUCGUUUCAACUUCUUCUGUUGGCAACUUGGGUUCGUCUAUUUGUGAUUUGUUUCUUAAAAAUCCUACAACUGCAUGUAUAUGCUUACAUAUGUUCUUCAUGCCUUCAGCAUUGUCAUCACAUGUGCAUAUAUCCUACAUGCAUUUACAGACAAGACAAUCUGGACACCUUUCUCUACACACUCCACAAGUAGGAUUACUCGCCUCAAUCUGAUACUGCUUGUUCUCAAAGGAUUCAGAGUACACAGUAAAAAUACCAUGAUCCUCCUGAGUAACUUCAAGCUUCAUGCCUUUUUCAUGUCUCUGGAAGGUUUUCCAGUUCUCCUCUUCAUCAAAUCAAUCAUUCUCUUAAAAAAAGUUUUUCCUUUACCAUUGGUUAAAAUUGUGAACAGGAAUGUCGAGGCAUUGCAUCCUUGCCUUAUACCAUUUGUUAUAUUUAUUGUUGUCUGCUUAGUUCCAUUUAUAAAUAUAUUAGUGAGGUCAUCUGUAUAUGUUUGCUACAAGAUUAAUGAUUUUGGGGUGGACUUCGUAAUUCAUCAGCGCUGUGAUCAGUGUUUUUUUGUCUAUUGAAUCAAAGGCUUUUUUUUAAAUCAAGUGAGGUCACAAUCGGCUCUUUUUUCAUUUUGUAACUUUGAUUAAUGUUGUAUUUUAGUGUGUAUAAAUUGUCUGUAAUUCUUCUGUCUUCAUUGAAGCCUGAUUGCAGGUUGCUAAUGUUGUCUGACUCUCAUGUGAUUUUCAAUAAUGCAGUAUUUUAGUGUGUAUAAUGUUUUUCAUUAAUGCAGUAUUUUAGUGUAUAAAUUAGAUGAGUUCUGGCCCUCGAAAAAAAUGCCAAAUUAUCUGGAAAGCAUAAUUUGGUACAGAAAAGUGGGUCUACUAUUAAGUUUUUUUUGCAUAUCCCAAUGUAAUUUAAAACAAAGUUAUGAAUAUUGAGAACAUUAUUCUUCAAUAAUCUUUGACACAGAUGCGGUAUUAUGAUAAAUGAAAUUAUGAAGCUUCAGUUGCACAGCAGCCUGAAUCUACGACCUGUUAUUCGUUGUAUUUUGGUCUACAAAAACUUCUGUACUAUCAGUUUUAGGCACUUGAUACACUAAAGCAAUUAAUAAAUCAUGAACACAGA